UCAGUCUUUUAUUGAAAGAGCAAUCCACUCUAGCACACACAAUUCCAUCUCAAUUAAAGUAAAAAUCCUCUCCAUAUGAUUCAGACCUGAGAACAACUCCUCCAACGCCUAAACCCAGAGAUGACUUCUUCCUUUCCUCUGGGCACCGGAGCCCCGCCGCUGGCGCCACCGCACACCUCUUCUCUGGAGUUGGUGCCGCCACACCGGACCUAAGUGAACCUACGGAGCCAUUGAAUUUGGUGAGACAGGUUGUACAGCCUUGAAAAUUGUAUGGACCUUUUACUUUGUUUCUCUCAAAUAUGGAAAUUUCAAGGUGCGGCGGUGCCAGCUCCAGAGACGAGGUGUGUGGCGGGACUCCGGUGCUCAGAGGAGAGGAAGAAGUUGUCUCUGGGUUUAAGUGUUGGAGUUGUUCUUUAGGUCUGAAUAUCAUAUAGGGAGGAUUUUGAGUUUAAUUGAGAUGAGAUUGUGUGUGCUAGUGUGUAUUACACUUUCAAUACAGGACUAACGUGGUAGUGUUUAAUUGGUAGCGUAAAUUAGUCCAUUUACGCCACAUCCGGAUGGAAGGUUUACUCAUUGUAAAAUGAUGUUGUAAAAUAAUAAAGUAGGUUUUUGGUGUGGUAAAA